rnacentral:rRNA from 1 species
GGGGGGGCCUACCAUGCAGUCGAGCGGUACACAGGGAGCUUGCUCCUGGGUGACGAGCGGCGGACGGGUGAGUAAUGUCUGGGAAACUGCCUGAUGGAGGGGGAUAACUACUGGAAACGGUAGCUAAUACCGCAUACCGUCGCAGGACCAAAGAGGGGGACCUUCCGGCCUCUUGCCAUCGAAUGUGCCCAGAUGGGAUUAGCUAGUAGGUGGGGUAAUG